UACGAAGGGGGCGAGCGUUGUUCGGAAUUACUGGGCGUAAAGGGCGCGUAGGCGGCCGAUCAAGUCAGAUGUGAAAGUCCUGGGCUUAACCUGGGGACUGCAUUUGAUACUGAUUGGCUUGAAUGCAGGAGAGGAUAGCGGAAUUCCCAGUGUAGAGGUGAAAUUCGUAGAUAUUGGGAAGAACACCGGUGGCGAAGGCGGCUAUCUGGACUGUGAUUGACGCUGAGGCGCGAAAGCGUGGGUAGCAAACAGG
rnacentral:rRNA from 1 species